CCUACGGGUGGCAGCAGUGAGGAAUAUUGGUCAAUGGCCGAGAGGCUGAACCAGCCAAGUCGCGUGAGGGACGACGGUGCCACGGGUUGUAAACCUCUUUUGUCGGGGAGCAAAGUGAGUCACGAGUGCCUCACUGAGAGUACUCGAAGAAAAAGCAUCGGCUAACUCCGUGCCAGCAGCCGCGGUAAUACGGAGGAUGCGAGCGUUAUCCGGAUUUAUUGGGUUUAAAGGGUGCGCAGGCGGGGGGUUAAGUCAGGGGUCAAAUUGCGGGGCUCAACCCCGUACUGCCGUUGAAACUGGAUGCCUUGAGUGCGCGAGAGGUAUGCGGAAUGCGCGGUGUAGCGGUGAAAUGCAUAGAUAUCACGCAGAACUCCGAUUGCGAAGGCAGCAUACCGGCGCGCAACUGACGCUGAGGCACGAAAGCGUGGGUAUCGAACAGGAUUAGAUACCCUGGUAGUC
rnacentral:rRNA from 1 species